rnacentral:misc_RNA from 1 species
GGACCGGCUAAGCACAAACUACUCAGGCGGAGUUUAUAAAUUUAACAAUAAACUAGCAUAAAUAUAAAUUUCUUCAAUGAAUAAGCUAAAAAUAGCAAAAAAACAAAAUUAAAUAACUCACCUUUUGCAAGAAACAAAUCUGUAAAACUAGAAAGGUCGUUGAUGAGAGAAGAAGUAAAAGAUUUGUAAAAAGAUAGAAAAGUUUAAAUGAAAAUUUGAGAGAGUAAGAGACAACAGCUGAAAACACUUGAGACCAAAAAAAGAAAAAGAGAGAGAGAGAGA